rnacentral:rRNA from 1 species
AGCAGCCGCGGUAAUUCCAGCUCCAAUAGCGUAUAUUAAAGUUGUUGCAGUUAAAAAGCUCGUAGUUGAAUUUCGGGGUCAGUAGAUUGGUCAUGCCACUGGUAUGUACUGGUCUCACUGAUUCCUCCUUCCUGAUGAGCCGUAAUGCCAUUAAUUUGGUGUUGCGAGGAAUCUGGACUGUUACUUUGAAAAAAUUAGAGUGUUUAAAGCAGGCUAACGCUUGAAUACAUUAGCAUGGAAUAAUGAAAUAGGACGUUCGAUCUUAUUUUGUUGGUUUCUAAGAUUGACGUAAUGAUUAAUAGGGAUAGUUGGGGGCAUUAGUAUUCAAUUGUCAGAGGUGAAAUUCUUGGAUUUAUUGAAGACUAACUACUGCGAAAGCAUUUGCCAAGGAUGUUUUCAUUAAUCAAGAACGAAAGUUAGGGGAUCGAAGACGAUCAGAUACCGUCGUAGUCUUAACCAUAAACUAUGCCGACUAGGGAUCGGA